rnacentral:rRNA from 1 species
GUCCACGCUGUAAACGAUGGGCACUAGGUGUCCGGGGUAUUGACCCCCUGGGUGCCGCAGCUAACGCAUUAAGUGCCCCGCCUGGGGAGUACGGUCGCAAGAUUAAAACUCAAAGGAAUUGACGGGGGCCCGCACAAGCGGUGGAGCAUGUGGUUCAAUUCGACGCAACGCGAAGAACCUUACCUGGGCUAGACAACGGCGGACAGCCCUAGAAAUAGGGCCUUCCCUUCGGGGACUGCCGGUUCAGGUGCUGCAUGGCUGUCGU